AGCAGCCGCGGUAAUUCCAGCUCCAAUAGCGUAUAUUAAAGUUGUUGCAGUUAAAAAGCUCGUAGUUGAAUUUCGGGAUCAAUUUGCUGGUCGUGCCUUCGGUACGCACUGGUAUUAUUGGUUUCUCCUUUCUGAUGAAUCGCGAUGUCAUUAAUUUGGUGUCGUGGGGAAUCAGGACUGUUACUUUGAAAAAAUUAGAGUGUUUAAAGCAGGCUCACGCUUGAAUACAUUAGCAUGGAAUAAUGAAAUAGGACGUUUGAUUCUAUUUUGUUGGUUUCUAGGAUCGACGUAAUGAUUAAUAGGGAUAGUUGGGGGCAUUAGUAUUCAAUUGUCAGAGGUGAAAUUCUUGGAUUUAUUGAAGACUAACUACUGCGAAAGCAUUUGCCAAGGAUGUUUUCAUUAAUCAAGAACGAAAGUUAGGGGAUCGAAGACGAUCAGAUACCGUCGUAGUCUUAACCAUAAACUAUGCCGA
rnacentral:rRNA from 1 species